AGCGAACGCUGGCGGCAGGCCUAAUACAUGCAAGUCGAGCGGGUCCUUCGGGAUUAGCGGCGGACGGGUGAGUAACGCGUGGGAACGUGCCCUUUGGUACGGAACAACUGAGGGAAACUUCAGCUAAUACCGUAUGUGCCCUUCGGGGAAAGAUUUAUCGCCAUUGGAGCGGCCCGCGUUGGAUUAGGUAGUUGGUGAGGUAAAGGCUCACCAAGCCUACGAUCCAUAGCUGGUCUGAGAGGAUGACCAGCCACACUGGGACUGAGACACGGCCCAGACUCCUACGGGAGGCAGCAGUAGGGAAUCUUGCGCAAUGGGCGAAAGCCUGACGCAGCCAUGCCGCGUGAAUGAUGAAGGUCUUAGGAUUGUAAAAUUCUUUCACCGGGGACGAUAAUGACGGUACCCGGAGAAGAAGCCCCGGCUAACUUCGUGCCAGCAGCCGCGU
rnacentral:rRNA from 1 species